GACAGAGGUGCCAAGCGUUAGGCGGAAUCACUGGCUUAAGGCGUGUGUAGGCGGGUGCCUAAGUACCUUGUGAAAUCCCCCGGCUCAACCGGGGAACUGCUGGGUAUACUGGGUGCCUUGGGUCAUCUAGGGGCUGCCGGAACAAAUGGUGGAGCGGUGAAAUGCGUAGAUAUCAUUUGGAACGCCAACGGCGAAAGCAGGCAGCUGGGGAUGCACCGACGCUGAGACACGAAAGCCAGGGGAGCGAACGGG
rnacentral:rRNA from 1 species